rnacentral:rRNA from 1 species
UACGUAGGGUGCAAGCGUUAAUCGGAAUUACCGGGCGUAAAGCGUGCGCAGGCGGUUUUGUAAGUCAGAUGUGAAAUCCCCGGGCUUAACCUGGGAACUGCGUUUGAAACUACAAGGCUAGAGUGUGGCAGAGGGGGGUGGAAUUCCACGUGUAGCAGUGAAAUGCGUAGAGAUGUGGAGGAACACCGAUGGCGAAGGCAGCCCCCUGGGCCUGCACUGACGCUCAUGCACGAAAGCGUGGGGAGCAAACAGG